GAGAUCUUAAGACCUCCGUGAAUAUAUUUGGAAGUCCACAUGACUUUCUUUGGAUGAUAGCUGAAAUUCCACAACGGUGUUGAGCCCUUUGGCCCUGCUGUCAAGCAGGGAGUUACUGUCUAUUUCAUAAGAACACGUAUGGGACACUCUUGGGAAAUACCAGUGUUCUCAUUUCUUGAUCUACAAAGAAUGGGAGACAAGUUACAAAAUAAACAUGUGAUAAACCAGGAGUAAGUAAAUGGGUAAGGAAUUUUUUUUGUGAAAGAAACAUGAAAGUAAAAGAAUAAAUGCCAAUGUGAAGGCUCUGAACUGUUGCUGAGAUGAAUAAGGAUUUGGCUAAAACAAAGAGGAGAAGUGUUCAGUAAUAGAUAAAAACAGAUCAGCU